CUAAAAAUGGCUGGGUUAUUUUUUAACCCAAAAUGCUGGGUUGAGUCUGUUGGGUUGUUUUGCUGGGUUAUUUUUUUUACAUUUUAAACACUUUUUGGGUAGUUUCAGUUUUCUAGGUGUUGGGUUAAAACUGCUGGGUUAUUAUGUUGGGUUGUUUGAAGAGGCUCACGUGCUUCGCGCCCUUGAUGUUUGAAUGUGCUCAGCAAUGGUCGUCGUGAAAGGACAGAGUCACUGAAGCAGUUGUUUCAAGAGUGUGCAGAGUUUUAACGUCCAUCCAUUGAUGAGGCUAGCAAGACCUUCAAACAACUUCAGCCAAUUGCAACAAAUGUGGUGGAAUUUCUUCUCUGGACAGAAUCCUCGAAACCCUUUCCUUUCGUCCUGGCCAUGGGAAACAUGCAGCAGACCUCUCAAUCUUUUUUCUCAAUCAGUCUCUCUCUGAAUACGGAAGUGACUUAAACUGCAAUUCGGCCAAGAUGGCGACGGCACGCACCGCCUACUUUAAGCUUCAAAAAUGCUCUUCACAAACCAGUGGGUGACGUCACAGACACUACUUGCAUAUUUUUUACAGUCUCUGGUUUAAAGGCAUUUUAAGUGCUUAAAAAAAUAAAUACCCCAGGCAAUGUGCUUCUAUGGGAAUUCCUGUAGUCUGUCAUUUUUCAAAUGGAUGAAUCCCCUGCUGUUCGAUUCCUUUGUACAUCUUUGUUCGCGACGAGUAACUUUAAUAAAUGAAGUAUUUUUAGUCAAAUACAUUCCAUUCUGUGAAACUUAAAACAUUUGUUCUUUAAAAAAACUUUACACAUCUAUGAAUGAUUUUACUUUUAAUUUAACAAUUACAUUGUUUCUUUUUUACACUGCUGUAGUUUUGUUUAUGUACAUUUCAGUAUUUCAUAUAUAUACUGUAAAAUUACAAAUUCUGUCUUAAAUUCAAACGAAUUGAUUCAACCUGUUACAUUGUUACUUCAAUGUGCAUAAUUUAUGAUAUUUUAUAAAUAUAUUUAUACUUGGGUCAGUAAGCAGUCCUUUAAAUGAUUUUGCAACUUACAACUGUAAAAAUGUAAGAGUUUGUAGUUAUUUUGCAAUCAAAUAAACAUUUAUUUG